UUGAAGUCUGGCGAUGCUGCCAUUCUUGAUAGGGUUCCUGACAAGCCCCUGUGAAUGUGGACUUAUUCUAACUAUCCUCUGGGUCAUUUUGCUGUUCAUGAUAUGAGACAGACAGUUGAUGUGUAUAUCAUCAAAGCAGUGGACAAGAGGGCUGCUGGAGCUGGCAAGGUCCUCAGUUCUUCCCAAAAGUCUCAGAAGGCUAAAUGA
rnacentral:lncRNA from 1 species